rnacentral:lncRNA from 13 species
UUAGGGUGGGAAACAAUUUAAAAAUAAUAAACAAACAAACAAAAUGUAUUGCUUAAUACAAGCAUCAGGAGCAAUAAUAACUAGCAUUUAAUGAGCUUUUAAUAGGAACCACAUAUAUCUGUAGACAUUUUGUAUGCGACAAUUUAUUUAAUCUUCACCAUCUUAUGAGGUAGGCAUUUGUAACAGUCUUGUUUUAUGGAUGGAGAAGAUAAACCAUAAAUUGAUUAGUAACUUUCUCAAGGUCACCAGAAUAAUGAUAGGGGAGGUAUUUAAACUAAGUAUUCCUCCAUUCUGUCUACAGCAAAAAAUAUAGAAAGAUCCUUGACCAAAAGAUGGCUGGAAAAAGAAGUGUGGGAACCCUAAUAAAAAAUAAUGGAGGAGAGCUGAUGUGAAUCAGAGGAAAACAAAUAUGGAAAGAUGACCAUAAAUGGAAACUUAGUGUGAAGAGAGAAAGUCUGUUGAUGAAAUUUUGUAUUCACCAAAAAGAUUGAUUUUUUUUUUUUUUUUGGACACGGAGUCUCGCUCUGUUGGCCCGGCUGGAGUGCAAUGGUGUGACCUUGGCUCACUGCAACCUCCACCUCCCAGGUUCAAGUUAUUCUUCUGCCUCAGCCUCUGCCUCCCAAGUAGCUGGGAUUACAGGUGCGUGCCACCACACCCAGCUAGUUUCUGUAUUUUUAGUAGAGACAGGGUUUCACCAUGUUGAUCAGACUGGUCUUGAACUCCUGACCUCAGGUGAUCCACCUGCCUCAGCCCCCCAAAAGUGCUAGGAUUACAGGCAUGAGCCACCAUGCCCAACGUCUAGAUUUUUUUUAAAUGUACUUAAUUAACAUUCAACUUUAAAUAAUCAUUUUUUUCUGGGUCGAGACAUAAACACCUUCUAUUAACUCAAGCUUUCAGUAACAAUCUGCUUUGUGUUGCCAGGGUCUUGGAGAAAAUCAAGGACAAAGAAACCAUUUUCUUCCCUGAAGUUAACAAUGGAAAGAGACACAGGGGACACAAAAACAAGAACUUGGCAGGCUCAGGACACGACAAUGGAGGUGAUUUUUAGACAUCAUCUUGGAAGUCUGCAAGAAGGAAGGCCAUUGAAAUCCCUUGACUAUGAGAAAUGGGCUCAGCAUACGCUCAUCGUGAGUGGAGGUGACACCAUCAAGGCUGGGGGCUUGGAAACACACAGGAGAGCACCAAUAUGGACCAAGGAAGGAUUGAAAGACACAGUGAAGGGCACACUAGGACUCUUAUAUGAAGAGGGAGGGAAGAUACAGCCUUUUCCUAUUCGUGAUUCUCUUUCUUCAUUCCCGCAUAGCUGCAGUGGUAAGUGAGUCCAUUAGGUCCUGCUAUCUAUUAAUGUGUCCUUGUCCUGGGAAGGUCUUCGGCAACCAAAAUAAGUUUGUGGGGCAAGAAAACAUACACUGAGUGGCUCAAGCUGUCUCUACAUGAUUAGAGAAUUUGGGGAGUGCUGCAUGUGUCCCCUCAAGUUGCCAUUAAGAUGGAAAGAUAAAGACUUACUAGAGAGAAUGGAAAAGGAAUAAAGAGUUUGCAGUUGUUUUGCUUCUCUCCUGC